GAUGAAGAACGUAGCGAAAUGCGAUAAGUAGUGUGAAUUGCAGAAUUCAGUGAAUCAUCGAAUCUUUGAACGCACAUUGCGCCCCUUGGUAUUCCAUGGGGCAUGCCUGUUCGAGCGUCAUUUGUACCUUCAAGCUUUGCUUGGUGUUGGGUGUUUGUCUCGCCUCCGCGUGUAGACUCGCCUCAAAACAAUUGGCAGCCGGCGUAUUGAUUUCGGAGCGCAGUACAUCUCGCGCUUUGCACUCACAACGACGACGUCCAAAAGUACAUUUUUACACUCUUGACCUCGGAUCAGGUAGGGAUACCCGCUGAACUUAAGCAUAUCAAUAAGCGAAGGA
rnacentral:misc_RNA from 1 species